AGUGGUUUAGGUUAAGUAAACCUUUAGCCUUCAAAGCUAAUCUUGGGGAAUAUGCCCAUCCACUA
rnacentral:tRNA from 1 species